CAGCAGCCGCGGUAAUACGUAGGGGGCGAGCGUUACCCGGAUUCACUGGGCGUAAAGCGGGUGUAGGCGGCUCGGUAAGUCGGGUGUGAAAUCCCACAGCUCAACUGUGGAAUUGCGCCCGAAACUGCUGAGCUUGGGGCCGGUAGAGGGAGACGGAACUGCCGGUGUAGGGGUGAAAUCCGUAGAUAUCGGCAGGAACGCCGGGGGGGAAGCCGGUCUCCUGGGCCGCGCCCGACGCUGAGACCCGAAAGCUAGGGGAGCAAACCGGAUUAGAUACCCGGGUAGUCCUAGCCGUAAACGAUGCCCACUAGGUGUGGGGGAUUAAUUCCUCCGUGCUGUAGCUAACGCGUUAAGUGGGCCGCCUGGGGAGUACGCCCGCAAGGGUGAAACUUAAAGGAAUUGGCGGG
rnacentral:rRNA from 1 species